rnacentral:rRNA from 1 species
AGUGAACGCUGGCGGCAGGCCUAACACAUGCAAGUCGAGCGGGCACACUCGGAGCUUGCUCCCCUACGGGUGGCGACGGCCGGGUGAGUAACACUUGGAUAAGGUACCUCUAAGACUGGGUUGACUUCGUAAAGGAUGAGCUAAUACCGGGUAAUAUAUUCUACCGCAGGAUUCAAUAGUGAAUGACUGUUUUGCUGUUACUUUUAGAUGGCUCCGGGCCGCCUAUGCGAGGUGGUAAGGUAACGGCAUACCGACGCAACGGUGCGUAGCCGACAUCAGAGGGAGAUUCGCUAGACGGGCACUGAGAAACGGUCCAGACUCCUACGGGAGGAAGCAGUAGGGAAUCUUACGCAAUGGGCGAAAGCCUGAUGGAGCAACGUCGCGUGAGUGAUGAAGGUCUUCGGAUCGUAAAGCGCUCUUGUUAGGAAAGAACAAAAGCGCAUUUAUCCAUGACCGUAUUGACGGUACCGAAUGAAUAAGCCCCGGCUAACUUCGUG